GAAGGCACGACAUUGCUCACAUUGCUUCCAAGUAUUACUUAGCCAGCUCGGGUGCUGGCUUUUUUUU
rfam:Serratia proteamaculans 568, complete genome.